GCGAAAACUUUACAAUGCUGGCAACAGCGAUAAGGGAACCUCGAGUGCCAGGUUACAAAUCUGGCUGUCGAGAUGCCUAAAAAGCAUUCCAUAGCAAGGGCCGGGCAAGACCGGUGCCAGCCGCCGCGGUAACACCGGCGGCUCGAGCGGUAACCGUUAUUAUUGGGUCUAAAGGGUCUGUAGCCGGCCGGAUAAGUCUCUUGAGAAAUCUGGCAGCUUAACUGUCAGGCUUUCAGGAGAUACUGUCUGGCUCGAGGCCGGGAGAGGUGAGAGGUACUUCAGGGGUAGGGGUGAAAUCUUGUAAUCCUUGAAGGACCACCAGUGGCGAAGGCGUCUCACCAGAACGGACCUGACGGCAAGGGACGAAAGCUAGGGGCACGAACC
rnacentral:rRNA from 1 species